AUGUUCAAAGUUAUUUGUCAAAAAUCACUUAUUCGGAGGACUUUUUUCUGACAUUGUGAGGCUCAGGUGUUUAAGUGUUAAACAAACGUCAACUGGACUUACUAAAAUUUAGACAUACAUUGGACACAAAGUCCCUCCUCUCGCCUGUUUAACCCCUCCCCUCGUCCCGGGUUGAGCUGUUAAAUAAGACGAACUCUCAUGAACGUCUCAUCAUCACUCUGGAGCAACACUUUCCAGAAGCGAGAAUGUCUCUUUGCCGCGUGGCCAUCAUGGUUCUCGUCGUUGUCCUGCUGCUUUAUGUUGCAGAGACUGAGGCUUGCCGAAGACCUGGAAUAUGUAAAUCCAGGUGUGGCAUUUAUGAAAUAAGGUCAACAAAGUUUUCCUAUUGUCCUUCUGACAAAGUAUGUUGCUAUAUGUGGGGCUAAUCCAUCCGUGCUACUAUGAGACUCACCUGGAAUCAGAUGUCGUGGAGGAUUCUGGAUUCUUGUGCAGCUCAAAUGACUGAGAUGGAAUAAAAAUAUUGGAUUGGA